rnacentral:rRNA from 1 species
CGGCAACAGCUCAAAUUUGAAAUCUGGCUUCGGCCCGAGUUGUAAUUUGUAGAGGAUGCUUUUGGUGAGGUGCCUUCUGAGUUCCCUGGAACGGGACGCCAGAGAGGGUGAGAGCCCCGUAUAGUCGGCCACCGAUCCUCUGUAAAGCUCCUUCGAC